rnacentral:rRNA from 1 species
GACAGAGGGUGCAACCGUUGUUCGGAAUUACUGGGCGUAAAGCGCGUGUAGGCUGCUCCGCAAGUCGGAUGUGAAAGCCCUGGGCUCAACCUAGGAAGUGCAUUCGAAACUUCGGAGCUGGAGUCCUGGAGAGGAAGGCGGAAUUCUCGGUGUAGAGGUGAAAUUCGUAGAUAUCGAGAGGAACACCGGUGGCGAAGGCGGCCUUCUGGACAGUGACUGACGCUGAGACGCGAAAGCGUGGGGAGCAAACAGG